UACGAAGGGUGCGAGCGUUGUUCGGAAUUAUUGGGCGUAAAGGGUUCGUAGGCGGGAAGGUAAGUCAAGUGUGAAAUCCCCGAGCUUAACUUGGGAAGUGCACUUGAAACUGUUUUUCUUGAAUAUUGGAGAGGGUCGUGGAAUUGCUGGUGUAGGAGUGAAAUCCGUAGAGAUCAGCAGGAACACCUGAGGCGAAAGCGGCGACCUGGCCAAAUAUUGACGCUGAGGAACGAAAGCGUGGGGAGCAAACAGG
rnacentral:rRNA from 1 species